rnacentral:rRNA from 1 species
GAUGAACGCUAGCUACAGGCUUAACACAUGCAAGUCGAGGGGCAGCAUGACGAUAGCUUGCUAUUGUCGAUGGCGACCGGCGCACGGGUGAGUAACGCGUAUCCAACCUGCCCACCACUUGGGGAUAACCUUGCGAAAGUAAGACUAAUACCCAAUGAUAUCCCACGAAGGCAUCCGAAUGGGAUUAAAGAUUUAUCGGUGAUGGAUGGGGAUGCGUCUGAUUAGCUUGUUGGCGGGGUAACGGCCCACCAAGGCUACGAUCAGUAGGGGUUCUGAGAGGAAGGUCCCCCACAUUGGAACUGAGACACGGUCCAAAACUCCUACGGGAGGCAGCAGUGAGGAAUAUUGGUCAAUGGGGCGAGAGCCUGAACCAGCCAAGUAGCGUGCAGGAUGACGGCCCUAUGGGUUGUAAACUGCUUUUAUAAGGGAAUAAAGUGAGUCUCGUGAGACUUUUUGCAUGUACCUUAUGAAUAAGGACCGGCUAAUUCCGUGCCAGCAG